UACGUAGGCAGCAAGCGUUGUUCGGAAUUACUGGGCGUAAAGGGCUCGUAGGCGCCAACUAAGUCAGACGUGAAAUCCCUCGGCUUAACCGGGGAACUGCGUCUGAUACUGGAUGGCUUGAGGUUGGGAGAGGGAUGCGGAAUUCCUGGUGUAGCGGUGGAAUGCGCAGAUAUCAAGAGGAACACCUGCGGCGAAGGCGGGUUGCUGGGCCGACACUGACGCUGAGGCGACGGAAAGCUAGGGGAGCGAACGGG
rnacentral:rRNA from 1 species